AGAUCACAUACAGGAUUUACAGUUAAAGAGUUACAGACUUAUAGUAGACUAUGUGGAUUGUCAGUAUCACAUUGCGAGAGCAUGUCAAAGGUCUUAAAGAGUGUUUAAACUUUCAACAAAAAGUCAUAAUUUAGUUUUGCAUGACUUUUAGAAAUAGAGUGCUUAAGGGAUGGCGUUAUUUUGCAGGCCAGCCCAGAAGUUAGUAUCACAUUGGUUCCCUUAACAAAAAGCCAAUAGAAUUUUUACCACUGGCUUUUGGAUUAUUGCAGAAAAUAACUUGUUUUUGAGUUUUAAACUCAUUCCUGCAGCACUAUAAAUAUUGCCUUUUUGCUGCUGUACCUUUGUAUAUCUACAUAACUGUCUUUCUAUGUGACAUGAGCAACAAGUUUCAGUGUUAUUUAUUUUCAACUCUUUACCCACCAGAUUUUUUUUUUAAAGUUGCCAGCCUUUGAUAAAAAAAAUAAAAUAAAAACAA